CCUUGAUGCUUACUAACUCACUUUGGGGAAAUCGAAUUUUAAGUCUAAUUUCACCCGGGAAAUGUCUUCUUGCUCCUAUUUAUUUUCUUAACCCUCUCAUAAUGAAGACGGAGGUAAAUAGACAUUUGAUCAAGUCAGAACAACCUUCUCCUCCCCAUCCAGGUUCCACCUCCUUGCACCGGUGCCGCCCGCCAACGGAAGCCGGCUCGGGCGACCCGUCAGCCGGCAUGUCCUGCGUCGUAUCCUGCCGGACUGGUGGUGGUCCACGAACUGUGUGCGUACCAAUUUAGUCACUCAUCACACGAUGCCAAAUCGCCAGGUGGGGUCUUUUUAUAUGAAGCUUCUCCGCCUGCAGAUACCCGAUCCGAGCGCCGAUCCAGCCCGUGAGCGGCAGCCGGCCCAGGGGACUCCGCAAGCGGCCCGUCUUGGCUCAAGAGUCCCGCAGGAGUGUUACGGCGGCGGCUCGUUCAAGCCGAAACUCUUUGUUAAUUUUCAUGCGUUCUAACGAACGUAAACUCAAAUGGGGAUUUUCUCACGCUCACUUUGCCUCAAGUUAUUACUGUGUACAUCUCAAGUGUGCGCGGCCAAGCCGUGGUCCACCAGCCGGCCCAGGAGCCUCGUAACGCAAGUCCAAGGCCACGUUUUGAGGUGCACUCCCUUCUUGCCAAACGUUGAAAACCAUAAGCCAUAAAUAAUAGUGACCGACAUCGAUCUUUUAUUACGUUCGAAUUGCCUCAACCUUCCCCAUCCCGAACACUCGGAAGCUCCUCCGACGGCCUCGCUCAGCUCUGCAUCUCGACACUUAUGGACUGACGGUGGCCCGCUACCAAGUAGUUCCACCUCCGGCCCCGCCCGCCGGCCGAAGCCGACUCAGGAGGCUCCUGACGCGGCCUUGUUCUGCUCAGCAUCCCGCCGGAGAGGUGGAGGCGGUGGUCCGCUCUCCGGCAAUACCCCGAGGCGCACUCAGGGGGCGCCAACGUAUAAUGCUCCCGGCUGUGUGAGGCGAGUCAACCCCCCCCCCCAUUUCCUUUCUUUUUUUUUUAAUACCUUGAUGUCAAGUGCAUGAUUCAUAAGCACUUUUAAAGGCAGGAAUAUGAUGACAAAUUGAUGAUGGUAUUAAAGUGUAAUCACACAC